rnacentral:tRNA from 1 species
CGGGGUAUAGCGCAGCUGGCUAGCGCGCAUCGUUCGGGACGAUGAGGUCGUGGGUUCAAAUCCCACUACCCCGA